rfam:Brachypodium distachyon strain Bd21 chromosome 3, whole genome shotgun sequence.
ACAAUACUCCUUCCGUCCAACAAAUGAUGUCUAACUUUGACUAAAUUUGAGUGUAUGUAUACACUAAGACAUGUCUAGAUACAUCCAAGUUUUAACAAACUUGAGACAUCUUUUGUUGAACGGAGAGAGUAUUAU